rnacentral:rRNA from 1 species
UACGGAGGGUGCAAGCGUUAUCCGGAUUCACUGGGUUUAAAGGGUGCGUAGGCGGGUUGGUAAGCUCGUGGUGAAAUCUCCGAGCUUAACUCGGAAACUGCCGUGGAUACUAUCAAUCUUGAAUAUCGUGGAGGUAAGCGGAAUAUGUCAUGCAGCGGUGAAAUGCUUAGAUAUGACAUAGAACACCAAUUGCGUAGGCAGCUUACUACACGAUCAUUGACGCUGAGGCACGAAAGCGUGGGGAGCAAACAGG